AUUGAACGCUAGCGGGAGGCUUUACACAUGCAAGUCGAACGAGUGGCGGACGGGUGAGUAAUAUAUCGGAACGUGCCCAAUAGAGGGGGAUAACUACGCGAAAGAGUGGCUAAUACCGCAUACGAUUGGAGCGGCCGAUAUAGGAUGAGCUAGUUGGUGGGGUAAAGGCUCACCAAGGCAACGAUCCGUAGAUGGUGUGAGAGGAAGACCAGCCACACUGGCACUGAGACACGGCCCAGACUCCUACGGGAGGCAGCAGUGGGGAAUAUUGGACAAUGGGGGAAACCCUGAUGCAGCCAGGCCGCGUGUAUGAGAAGGCCUUCGGGUUGUAAAGUACUUUUGGCAGGGAAGCGUUAUCUGCAGAAUAAGCACCGGCUAACUACGUGCCAGCAGCCGCGGUAAUUC
rnacentral:rRNA from 1 species